UUUUAUGUGCACGCCGUCUCCUGGAGCGGUUUUUGCCCUUUAUAAAAUCAAUAUUGGAGAGAGAAACCAAACACCACUUGAGAGGAAACCUUCUGCCUUUAAAUUCGAAAUCCCUAGAGUCUUCCAGCCGGCGAUUGAACCUAUAAUACUUACAAGUUACACGAUUCAACCCGUCAUCCCUACUCCCUCCUCUCAAUUUAGCCUUUGUUGCGAGCCUGGGACCGAUCAGUCGAGCUAGAUUUCGCGAGAACUGCUGCCGCCUUUCGCCUCCCAUCGUUGUCAUCCGUCUCCCGCCGUUGCCAUCGCAGUCAACCCAUAAACGGAGUGAUAAGUUGCAGAUAUUUUGCUAUGGAGAGAGGGGAGAAAACAUUUACUUGUUUUCUCUUGCUGGUUCUGCUCUAUCAUAUGCUACCACCAAUUAUGUUCUGAAUUCAUGUGCUGAAAGGAAGGUUUUCAAGACACCGAGCUCUUUUAACUAAAGAAGAUUGCUACCAUAUUUGACGGACAUUGUGAAAGAAAAAUCCAGUGCUUCACAUAUUGAAAUAAGAAUUUCCCAAUAAAUUGCAGAGUUAAGUGGUUUGAGUCCUAAAAUGCCUUCAUUGAUGGAAAAUGGUUGUGCUGCUAAACUUGAGUGUAUUGGAGCAUGGACUAAUCCUGCAGAUAGUUUCGAGUCGACUUUAACAAUGAUGAAUUGAAUAGUAGUGUGCUCUCCAUGUUCUAGAGGAUGGAUAUGCAGUAGCAACUCAUACAGGCUUGGGGUAGAAGGAAGAACUUUCUUGGGAAGAGUUUGGGAGGAUUAUUCACGAGUUAUAUAUUCGUAUUGUGAAUUUGAUGCCAUUGUAAGACCAGAAGAAUGGAAUGACCGGAGGAAACAACUAAAU